rnacentral:rRNA from 1 species
GACAGAGGAGGCAAGCGUUGUCCGGACUGACUGGGCGUAAAGCGUCCGCAGGUGGUCGUGCAAGUGCGCUGUGAAAGCGGCCCGCUCAACGGGCCGAGGCCAGCGCAGACUGCGCGACUCGAGGUCGGGGAGAGGUCGGUGGAAUUGCCGGUGUAGUGGUGAAAUGCGAUAGAGAUCGGCAGGAACACCCAAGGGGAACG